ACUACGGGAGGCUGCAGUGGGGGAUAUUGCACAAUGGGGGGAACCCUGAUGCAGCGACGCCGCGUGGGUGAAGAAGCGCCUCGGCGCGUAAAGCCCUGUCAGCAGGGAAGAAAAUGACGGUACCUGAAGAAGAAGCCCCGGCUAACAACGUGCCAGAAGCCGCGGUAAUACGUAGGGGGCAAGAGUUAUCCGGAUUUACGGGGUGUAAAGGGGGCGCAGACGGCGAUGCAAGCCAGGAGUGAAAGCCCGGGGCCCAACCCCGGGACUGCUCUGGGAAAUGCGUGGCUGGAGUGCAGGAGGGGCAGGCGGAAUUCCUGGUGUAGCGGUGAAAUGCGUAGAUAUCAGGAGGAACACCGGUGGCGAAGGCGGCCUGCUGGACUGCAACUGACGUUGAGGCCCGAAAGCGUGGGGAGCAAACAGGAGUAGAUACCCUAGUAGUC
rnacentral:rRNA from 1 species